CUCGUAGGCGGUUAUCCACGUCGGAUGUGAAAGCUCAGGGCUCAACCCUGGGACGCCAUUCGAUACGGGAUGGCUAGAGGUAGGUAGGGGAAAGUGGAAUUCCUGGUGUAGCGGUGAAAUGCGCAGAUAUCAGGAGGAACACCGGUGGCGAAGGCGGCUUUCUGGGCCUUACCUGACGCUGAGGAGCGAAAGCUGGGGGAAGGCAAACA
rnacentral:rRNA from 1 species